rnacentral:rRNA from 1 species
CCUACGGGCGGCAGCAGUGGGGAAUAUUGGACAAUGGGGGGAACCCUGAUCCAGCCAUGCCGCGUGUGUGAAGAAGGCCCUCGGGUUGUAAAGCACUUUCAGUGAGGAAGAACGCCUGGUGGUUAAUACCCAUCAGGAAAGACAUCACUCACAGAAGAGGCACCGGCUAACUCCGUGCCAGCAGCCGCGGUAAUACGGAGGGUGCGAGCGUUAAUCGGAAUUACUGGGCGUAAAGCGCGCGUAGGUGGCUUGAUAAGCCGGUUGUGAAAGCCCCGGGCUCAACCUGGGAACGGCAUCCGGAACUGUCAAGCUAGAGUGCAGGAGAGGAAGGUAGAAUUCCCGGUGUAGCGGUGAAAUGCGUAGAGAUCGGGAGGAAUACCAGUGGCGAAGGCGGCCUUCUGGACUGACACUGACACUGAGGUGCGAAAGCGUGGGUAGCAAACAGGAUUAGAUACCCGGGUAGUC